rnacentral:tRNA from 1 species
ACCCCUGUAUCUCAAUUGGCAGAGGACAGUUUAGCGGAGCUGUAGGUUGCGGGUUCGAAUCCCGUCAGGGGUA